rnacentral:rRNA from 1 species
GACGAACGCUGGCGGCGUGCUUAACACAUGCAAGUCGAACGGAAAGGCCCUGCUUUUGUGGUGUGCUCGAGUGGCGAACGGGUGAGUAACACGUGAGUAACCUGCCCUUGACUUUGGGAUAACUUCAGGAAACUGGGGCUAAUACCGGAUAGGAGCUCCUGCUGCAUGGUGGGGGUUGGAAAGUUUCGGCGGUUGGGGAUGGACUCGCGGCUUAUCAGCUUGUUGGUGGGGUAGUGGCUUACCAAGGCUUUGACGGGUAGCCGGCCUGAGAGGGUGACCGGCCACAUUGGGACUGAGAUACGGACCAGACUCCUACGGGAGGCAGCAGUGGGGAAUAUUGCACAAUGGGCGGAAGCCUGAUGCAGCAACGCCGCGUGCGGGAUGACGGCCUUCGGGUUGUAAACCGCUUUCGCCUGUGACGAAGCGUGAGUGACGGUAAUGGGUAAAGAAGCACCGGCUAACUACGUG